UAAAUUAUUAAUUAAUUAUUGGAUAAUAUUAAAUAUUAAUUUUUGUGUGUUAAUUACUGUAUCUAAAGGAUUUCAGUUUAUUUUAUUUAUUUGUAGUUUUUUGUUUUAGUGAAUUACGUAAUAAUUGUAGAUCUAGUUAAUUCAUUUAAAGCUGUUUAAAGUUGUGCCAGCAUACGCGGUUAUACAUCUAGCUUUAGUUAAUUUUUUUGGUUAGUAUUUAUUUAUUUUGUUUGGGAUUGUAUUUUUAGGUUUUAAGGUGGAAUUUUAAUUUAUUUUUAUUUUUUCUUGGUGUAGAAUAUAUUAAAUUUAGUGUUUAAACUAGGAUUAGAUACCCUAUUAUUCUAAAUGUAAAAAUUUUAACCAUAUUAUUAAUAGUUAUGAUCUUUAAAUUAAAAGGAUUUGGCGGUAAUUUAGUCUUUUCAGAGGAAUCUGUUCUUUAAUUGAUAAUCCACGUUGGAUUUUACUUUGAUUUUUGUUUGUAUAUCUCUGUCAUUGAAUGUUUUAUUAGAAUAUCUUCUUUUAUUAUUUUAUUUAAUUAAUGUCAGGUCAAGGUGCAGCUAUAUUAAAGGUUGAAAUGGAUUACAUUUAAUGUUAUUUAUUGGAUUAAUUUUAUUUAUUAUUUAUUAUUAAAUAGGAUUUGAAAGUAAUUAUUAUUAUCUUUUAAUAAUGAUUUUAGCUCUAAAUUAUGUACACAUCGCCCGUCACUCUCAUUAUCAAGGUGGGAUAAGUCGUAACAAAGUAAUUUUACUGGAAAGUGAAGUUGGAAUUAU
rnacentral:ncRNA from 1 species